rnacentral:rRNA from 1 species
AGUAAUAGGUAUGAUCUUGAAACUCAAGAGAUUUGGCGGUACUUUAAUCUAAUUAGGGGAAUUUGUUUAUUAAAUGAUGAUCCACAAGGUAUCUUACUUUAUUUAAUUAAUUUAUAUGUCGCCGUUGUGGAGGGUAUUUAAAGAUUUUAUUAACUUUCAGUAACCUUAACUUAGGAAGAAUUCAGGUAAGAUGUAGUUUAUAGUAGAGUUUAAAUGAGUUACAAUAAAGUUAUUUAUACGGAUAUUAGAUUGAAAUAUUUAAUUGAAGGUGGACUUAAAAGUAAAUUUUAAUAUUAUAUAAUAUUGAAUAUAGCGCUAAAGU